CCCUCGGUGCUGGGCUGAGAGCUCCUCCACCAGACGUGGCAUUGCGUCAGCUGGGUCUGACUUAUCUCCAUGACCUCCUGAUGCUCGCUGCUCUCUCUGGAUUUUGGAAAAGCAGAAGCAGAUGCAGAGAUCGGGUUUUGUGAUACUAACACACUUUGAGCUUUUUAACCUCAAGUACUAUUUGUUUUGCUUGGCACUUCCUCCACAACCGACCGCGCCAGGGCUGGUGCUCCGGAGCAGCCCUGCGGUUGGGAGUUCCCACCAGAGACUGGAAGUGACUGCCCGCCUGUCCCCAACCCGCUCCACCACCAGAUCGCCGGCUCCUGUCUGGUGAAGCUCAACAGGGCUCUGACGGCUCUGACUGGCACUCGGGGCUGGUGACUCAGCAGCCGCUGGUGACUCAGCACCCACGGAAAUCGAUGGAAGCGCCUCCAGCAUUUUUUAUAAGAGCUGAAUCAGGCCCUAAUUGCAUUUUAGCCUGCUCUCUUUUCCCCACAUACUGCCCACAGGAACCCCACGAGCAACGGCUCAACGCUGAGUUACCCCGAACCAGUUAUGGUGACCCUGCACCUCCAGGGCAAAGUCCUGCCAGAGUGGUGAUGGGCACCCGAAAGCCACGUGUGACAACUGAAGCCGUCCUGAAGAAACAUCCUCCUGAGUCACUGACCACCUUUGGGUCUGAAUGGAGUUUCUGCACUUCCAGGGAGGGGUGGCAGCAGCUGGAGGUGGGGAUGCCGCCUCUUCUGGCAUCUCAACCAGCCCGAGUGCACCGGGCAGCCCCUGGGGCAGAUGCCAGCCCUGCCACCCCGUGCCAGCACCAGCCACUCGGCAUGCGUGUGGGAAAAACACCGCACACCCACACUCCGAGUGGCAGGCUCCAGCGCCAGCUGAGUCAACUCAGCCCCUCACUUUUGCAGAGAAGAUAUGCAGAAUCUGAUGGGGCUUAUCACGUGGGUAUGGGCAGGGAGCGGCUCCUUGGCUUCAAAGAGCAGAUAAGGCCAUCAAAGUGAUUGUCAUCUUCAAACACUGCCUACUUACUCACUAGACCUAAUCUCCGCGUGAAUUCCAACUCAAAGCCUCUCACUUCAGCAACCAGGUGGAUGUGUUCACUGCUUGCCCCUGCUGUUAGCCCAUGGAGCCAGCACGGCCCUGGGGAGAAGAGAGUCAUUGCCGCUUUCUGCUUAUACACCAGCAACGCCUCUGUUAGAAGCUUUGCCCCAACUGUUUGUUGUACCUACACAAUGCACAACAUCGAGCCUGGGGAGGGCUGCGAGCAGGGGCUGCCUCCCCCUCUGCUGUUCCCUGAGAACAUCACAUAGACAGGCUUGGAAAAUAAGGAGUUGUGUUAGGACACACUGUGGGUCUAAACUGUGAAGAUGGUAAUGGGGGAAGGAGAGGAGUCCUGCUUAAUCCCAGGGGCCCGUUCCAACAGUGCAAGUGGAAAAACGCAGGCAGGCAAGAUGAUCCGUUCCCCACCCUGGUGAGAACAGGAGGCGGAGGCACCACCCUCGGAGGCAGACGGGAUGCCAGAGGGGAGGCAGAAGUUGAUGAAAACAAAGCGAACCUUCUCGGUUGACUCCGGGACAGGAGCAGGGACAAGACAACCUUCUGCCAAGGGCUGCGCUUCACCCAGCACCACCUCGCGAGGACUCAGAUGGAAAGAAUUUCCCUUGCGGGCAGGAGGGCAAGUCAAGAUACAGUAUCUCAGCAGACUACCCCACCCCUCCCUAGGCUUGUCCUGGGUUUUGAUACGCAGUGUGCAAAUCUGGAAUGUAUUCAUAAAUAAAUGUCAAAUUCUCAGAUGCAUUGUCAGCCUUAAAGAAAAUGAGCAGACUUAAUUAAAAAUCCCACUGUUUCUUUGACUCAUGACCUGAGUCACAUCUCCAGCCUUGCUGCUUUUACAUAUUUAACACACACACACAGAAAUACAAUCAAUACUUAUCAACUUCAAGAGCUGGCAAGACGAUACUCCGGUGUUUGAGAAAGUCAUCUGUAAGCUGUGUCAACAAGAGGUUCAAGAUCUCUGAGGAAUCCCUGUGCAAUACGCUUAUGUGAUAAUGAUACACAGAUCGCAAUUCAUUGAAAUCACAAGAUGCCAUGAAUCCUCUCCCAUGCUUCCUAUCCAGUGACUGUGUGUUUUGCUGCAUUUGAAAUAUUUUGCUGCAUCAGGUGACAGAACAGACCCAUUGGGAUCCAGAUGCCUAUUACUAAAAAUAUCCCCAUAGUGGGCUGACACAUUCAGUGUCCAUUUGUUCCAGAUUUGUUCCUCUAUCUCUGACCUGCAGGAGCUCAAGGCUCCCGCCUGGCACUGAGGGUUAGGAGGAAGCCCGUUCUGACCACCUGCACCACAAGCCAUCCCCAGGGUUGGCGAUGUCCUGUCUCUUUUUGGCUUCCAAGGAGGGGCUGAGGGCAAGAUGCGGUUUGGCCGGGCAGGUUGGGCGGCUUUGUCCCCGGCACACAGCUCCUCUGCCUCCAGCAGCACCCCGGUUGUUGGUGCAUCUCCAGCCAGGAUCCCAGCCCUGGCCACAGCUGACGGGAGAUGACAAAACCCACAUAAGGCACCUGGCCCCGCACACUGAGUUAGCCUGUGUUAGCCUGUGAGAAGGCUUCAGCCAAACCACAACAAAGUCCAUGAUUUCCAUGGGCUUUGUCUGAGGUCUGUUUUAAAGCCCUUCCUUUUCCAGGACAGCUUCAUUCCAGACCUUGUUACAAAGCCAGUGGCAAACAUCCAAUGAUUUCAGUAGUAGAUGUGUUUUAGCAAAGCUUAUCGCAAACAGGGUUAACUCCCUGCUAAGGAAGACCACAGACAGCACCUUCCCUUUGAACACACAAAAUAACCUCUGGCUGGUGCAUUCUGCUGAUCGGUCAGCAACAGUCUCCCAGGGGUUCAGCAGCAACGACCCAGGAGGUUGGCCCCAAUCAUCCUCCCGUUCGGCCCCAGCCCCUCCGGCCGGGCCAGCCUGCUGCAGGCAGCACUGUGCCCGCCACAUAGGGCAGACACACAGACAGGGGGACCUGCCAGAAUCUCUUUUAGACACGUUUUUCUGUUAUUAGAGAGCUCCAUCAUUUUACUGUAUCUUAUUUGCUGCUAGCAAGGUUUAUCAUUAAGGCUCGUCACCAGACAAGGGGCACUUACACCUGACAACACAUACAGAGAACGAGGACGACAGGCCAGCGGCUGUGCUGGUGAUACCUGUCGUUUUUCAACAACGGCAGCGGACAGGUAAGAGCAAGCACAAUACACCUUGGCAAUUUUGCAAACCAGGCUGUCUUUGCAACCUACCUGUUGCAAAAUGGAAUCUGAACAUCACAUCACUGUAACAUCUGCACUGCCUACUCAGGACUGUGUUCAAUAAAAAGUCUCCAUCUCCUUUUGCAGUAAAGCAAUGUGCUCUGUAGUUAGGCCUGUGUGAGGAGUUUAGCAUCUCUCCUAAAACACCUUUUUCCAAGAGAUUAGAACUUGGUCAUAAAAAUUUUAUUCUAGAGUAGUAUUUAGCAGAGACACCUUUUGGUAGUAAACCGAAAAGACCUCCAUUCAAGCACUGAAGUGGCCCAACUGUGAUACCAGUGUAACCCUUUUCCCAGAGAGGUUACUUGUCUUCUCAUCUGUUCCACCAGUCUCAGGCCCACGCAAUAACAAUGGCCUCAUUUAAUGCUCACCGAAGGGUGGGGGGAAUCUUCCCAUCAUCUUCCAAGGCCCUAUUAAAACACAACUCA